AUGUACUGGUUAAAAGGCCUCCAGAUGCACCAUCCCGUCCUUGUCCACCCACCUUUGUUUCUAAAACAGAGCCACUUUUAUUGCUGCCCCGAGGCAGAUAGAGCCCAAGCUAAGGAAACAGAGAAUCCUAGUGUAAGGAUAGGUAUGGAAAUGAGCCCUCUGUCACAAUACUCAACAAUAUCUCCUGCACUCCCCCUUAUUCUUCUGAAAAUAGGGAGAGGGGAGAGGAGAGGAGACGCUGGACGGCAUUGUUCUUCCUGCCCAGUUUUGUGAGAAAUUAAUUAAUUAUGAAUGAGUAAGUGAGUUAAGAAAGGGGGUUUUGGAUUCUAUUGGUGUUAACAUAAUUACAAUUCUCUCUUUUUUAAAUGAAGGGAUGGGGGCCAUUUCUCCCGCCUCUCAAAUGGGUUUUUAUCGUCUUCAAUUUGGAAAAGAAAAGCUGAUAAAAGCCUUUAUAAUGCUUUAAUUUGGCAUCGAUUUGCAUGAAUCUCCCUCAGUAAUUAUCAACUUACCCCUCCCCCCUUUGGAUGACAGAAACAGUAGAUUCUGAUAAGAGAAAGAGAGAGAGAGAGAGUGUGUGUGUGUGUGUGUGUGUGUGUGUGUGUGUGUGUGUGUGAGAGAGUGAGGGUGGGGUGGGGGGUAUCUUCUACUCUCCAUCUCCCAUUUUUCUAUUUCCAUAUCUCAUCCCUCUGUCUUUCAUUGGGAGAGGCGUGGAGCGAGUGAUGGCAGUGGCAGGGGAGAGGGAACAGAAAAAUCCUAAAUCAAAGCACUCAAUUAUAGGGCUGCAGUAAUUAUGGGAGCCCUUGAAUUGAAGUGCUCUCGGAGGAGAGAUGGAUAGAUAUAUGGAUGAUGCAUGAGGGGCGGGACAGAUAGGUAAAUAAAUGAAUAUGCCACACAGAAAUACAAUGUAGCCUCUGGGCCCGGGAUGACAUAAAUACACGUAUUAAUCGAUAGGUCGCAAACCAUCUCAAUGCAAUUAAAAGGGUAUUGAGUGGAGUGGGCCACACUUGGGCUUGGGAGUGGGCUUUGGCAGGCUGUAGUGCGUCAGGGCCCUGACCUGUGGGAGGGUUAAUGCCCCCCUGGCCCUCACUAGCUUCUAGCCUAUGUUUGGUGAAAUGCUGAGGGUCACUCCAUAAAGGGACUCCAGUCUCUGUGGGGCCCUUUACUGGUCAAUAAGACUGAAUGAGUUCUAUCAACUACCCCUCUGCGAAACAACUCCUCUGCUGAUAAUACUCCCAACACUGCCUGGAGAGCAGUGCACUGAAUACACUUUCUGUCUGUGUUUAUCUUUGCCAGUGUCGAUAGUUUUACUUAAAAGAAAUGGUGCUUUCAUGUCCCUCUUCUCUCUAUCCAUUUACACUUACAUUAAACUCAUGUUUAUUUGUGGUUGUCUCUUAUUCUUUUGAAACAUACCUAUCACAGGAUAUUUCUGUCUGUCU
rnacentral:lncRNA from 15 species